UGGCCAAUAUGUUCAAACAACUAUCAGUC
rnacentral:piRNA from 1 species